rnacentral:misc_RNA from 1 species
AGUUUGUAGUAUCUAAUAGAACCAACACAGUCUGCAUAAUGAACACACAGGGACAGUUCAAUGACAUCUCCAGUGUGGGUUGAUGAUAUUACAUGUACUGAAUCUGAGAGUUGUUUCAGUACUAAUUGUGUCAAUGAUGAUCAGUCAGAAGUAACAUCAGGACCUUGUGCUGGUCAUGCAAUGGACAUCAGUCUCUCAUGCACUUUUGUAUCAACUGAUGGUGACACUCUUUUGUCUGGUAAUGAAUUCAUUUGUCGUAUCCAUGGAGCUGAUGUUCUUGUUAUUGUCUUAUCUUCAGUAUUUGGAUUCUUUUUCUUGACAUGUCUCUGUGCACUGAUCACUUGUAUUGUUUGUUGUUAUACUGUCAGAACCUGUCCUUUAUAUGCCUACAAGCAGAAGAGGAAGUAUCAAGGACUGAUCUAACUUAUGAACAAGAAAUAUUGUCAGUGUAGCUUUGCUGCUAUUUUAUUAAUUAUUUUUAUUUCUUAUAUUCCAACAUCGUGUAAUUGAAAUUCAGUGGCUCAAUUACUGUA